CGUGUAGGCGGUUUUUUUAAGUCUGAUGUGAAAGCCCCGGGCUCAACCCGGGAAGUGCAUUGGAUACUGGGAGACUUGAAUACGGGAGAGGGUAGUGGAAUUCCUAGUGUAGGAGUGAAAUCCGUAGAUAUUAGGAGGAACACCGGUGGCGAAGGCGGCUACCUGGACCGAUAUUGACGCUGAGACGCGAAAGCGUGGGGGAGCAAACAGGAUUAGAUACCCUGGUAGUCCACGCCGUAAACGAUGAGAACUAGGUGUUGCGGGUAUUGACCCCUGCAGUGCCGCAGCUAACGCAUUAAGUUCUCCGCCUGGGAAGUACGGUCGCAAGACUAAA
rnacentral:rRNA from 1 species